CCGCUCGACGAUGAUGAACUCAUCUCCCACAUCCUCUCUGGGCUGGAUCUUGACUAUCAGCCGUUGAUCUCCGCCCUGGACGUCCGCACCAAGCCACUCUCCAUCGACC
rnacentral:snoRNA from 1 species